AAUGCUGAUCCAGGUCAGUUACAAGGAACAGCAAAAAUAUGUAAAGGUGGAUGAUGAUGAAGGAAGAUUGGACUUUCUGCAGUUCCAUGAAAAAGUCAUUGAAAGGUUUUGCCUGCCACCAGAUGCAGAAGUUAUAUACAAAGAUUCAACAGGGACUGAAGUUGAUGGAGACAUUUUCAGUGAUGUAGUAAAACAAGGCAAUGUGGUGUUGACUGUUUUUUCAAAUGAUGACGCGUUGUCAGACAUGACUCAGACAUCUGAAUCAAGUUACAGCUCAGGUGCCUCAACUGUAAUCCUAGAUGAGAUCCUGAACAAACGACAAAGAUUUGACACAACGUCUGAUGCGAUGUUUGCAAAACAGUUGGUUGAGGGUGUGCUAAAGUCUAAGUCUGGUGGUGAAGAGGUACUACAGCAGUAUCA